GAUGAAGAACGUAGCGAAAUGCGAUAAGUAAUGUGAAUUGCAGAAUUCAGUGAAUCAUCGAAUCUUUGAACGCACAUUGCGCCCGCCAGUAUUCUGGCGGGCAUGCCUGUCUGAGCGUCAUUUCAACCCUCAUGCCCCUAGGGCGUGGUGUUGGGGAUCGGCCAAAGCCCGCGAGGGACGGCCGGCCCCUAAAUCUAGUGGCGGACCCGUCGUGGCCUCCUCUGCGAAGUAGUGAUAUUCCGCAUCGGAGAGCGAUGAGCCCCAGCCGUUAAACCCCCAACUUUCCAAGGUUGACCUCAGAUCAGGUAGGAAUACCCGCUGAACUUAAGCAUAUCAAUAAGCGGAGGA
rnacentral:misc_RNA from 1 species